CCCUUUACCACCGGGCAGGGGUGCAUGGCCCAGGACAGGCUGUCCUGGUUUGCACUGGGGACUAAUUCGGGGGGUUUCCCCGUCAGAAGUUUAGGGGGUGUGGGUCACAGGGUAUCCCUGUUCCACACCGGGUAGGGACCUUAGAGGUCUUAGUUGAAUUCUUCCGGGAGUAUGCCCGGGUCCUCUCUUUGCCGGAGUUUUCCGGCGUCCUCGGAUAAGUCUCUCCGAGGGGGGCGUGGCGCGCCCACCUUGAUUACUGGUUAGACCCAUUUCUCCGUCCUUCAGAGAAAACGGGGGGGAGUGUAGUAUCUGGGGAGUCGUCCCCAGUACGACCUGUUUGGCAGACAGCUUCCGGAGCCCGGAUGACAGUUCCCGCCAAGAGGCAUCUUGCGACCAGAGCUUGAAUACGAAAGACGUAGAGAAUAGACGAACACACGAAUAACGACGAACAGUGAAAAGGUUCAUUCAGCGUUAUGCAUAGAUAUGCUGCGCUCGCCCCAACGGUCACACCGUAAUCAUAUUAGGCCUAGUAAAGAGAAGUAAGUUUAAUUAAAAGUAUAAAUGAAUUGCGUAAUUAUCGAAUAAUCAUUCAUGAAGAUGAAGGUAUACUUGCAGUUACCUGGUUACUUUAUACAACUUGUUCUCCAUCGACACUUGAACCACUGCAUUGACAAUGCAUGCCAACUUGUUAAACAGGGACAUAACAAAUGGUUGUGGUACAUAGCGUUCUCUGAUUUACUAAUAAGCGUUGGUUUUCGGACGUGUAUUUGGCCCAUAUUCUAUACUCGUAAUACUGAAUCGGAUUUGUUUGUCACCGGAAACGCUUCACCGGAAGUGACAAGAAACGAGACUUACAGCCCCUAUAGGGUCAGAAAGUCUCGUUUACUUUCGCUUUCGAUUUACUACUUCCGGGCAACAGUCGAAAAAUGUCACUUCGUUUUGCUUUGGUUAUGCUCAGAUGACAGCGUUAAAAUGAACCUACAGCCUAUAUAGAUUCCCUACUUAUGCAAAAAGAGGAAGAAGUGGAUUUGUAGAUGCAGGUAAACAAGUCAUAAUACUUAUAUUUUUAUAGUUAAAUCACCGAUUGAGAACUGAGAAGCAGCGAGCUCUACCCACGACCGGGUGAUUGAUCUAAAACAAAUUUUACUGAAUAUUUUCGAUAAUAAACAGCUGUCAAGUUAAAGGGUUUAGUUUUUUUUAUGAGUUAGAACUAACAUUACAUGACACAAUUAUGCAGUGUGUUACUUUUGAUAAAGGAGACAGACUGAAUGCAAAAGGGUCGGGGGGGGGGGGGGGGGGUGUCGGGAAUAAAACAAUUAGCUGGGUAAAGUAAAUAUAUGCAGGCAUCUAUUUGUACCAUGUUUUGUCAAUCUCCCUGACUAAUAGUUGAUCAUAUAAACUUGUAGUAACACAUUUAUGGGAUGCUGAUAGUUUAAGGGGGGAGGACACAUUUACAAGGCAAUGCAGUUUCUCAUUUUCAUUAUAUUUUAAUUAAUAAUGAUAUUGCUUAUGUUUUUAUUGUGACCCUCACGGAAAAUGCUACCAAUUUGGAAACAAAAAAAAAUUUCAAAGACGAUUUGGAUCACUGAAAUAACAUGUUUUUGAUACACAUGUACUUCAUUUCUGUAUAUGUGUUUGUGAAACACUAUGCCUCUUGUGACAACAAAGAAAUAGUAAACAUUCGCCCAUACAUUCAGAUCUUAAAUUAAUUCAAUUUAGAUUGUGGCAUUUGAAUUCUUCUUGAAAAUGAAAAUUUUUGAUAAAAGAUGUUUAUUUACUGUUUAAUAAUGCAGUGGUGGGACAAGUGGGGUUGGUGGUGGUGCCAUUCCCCAUUUGGUAGUUCAUAUGUAACAAAUAUGGGGAUUUGGGUUGCAAUUUUGAUAAUUUUAAUUUACACUAAUACCUCUUUUAGGGAGAUAGUAUAAAUUACACUUGCCCCCCCCCCCCCCUUUGCAAAUUUUCUUGAUCCACCCCUGCAAUACUUUUAAUGAUAUUCACAUGCUGUUAUAUACAUCAUUUCCGUCAGAAGUAUCAAUGUGUUGGUGGCUGUUAUGAAGAGAAUGGGCCCAUUUUAAAAACUUCUAGGAUGGGCGGUGCAAGGGUUCAUACCAGUGAUCAAUUUCUCAUGAAGUUGCACCUAAAUCUAAGGGAUUUACAUUUAGCAGGCCAGAGGGCUCAAUGCCUAAUUUACCUCUGAAAGAAUCGCAAUGGAUACAAGAAACAUAACACUGAAUUUAACUUUAAAAAUGAAUAACUAGUCAUUAUCUGACAGCAACUACAUUGUGCAAAAUUUGUCACACAGCAAAGGCUAUUACUUGUGUAGCACAAUUGUUCUGAAUUAUAUCCUGGGUCCACCUCUGAUGGUGAUAUUGUUGAUCACUGAGGUGUAUUGGAGAUGUUGAAACCAUAUGAUAUAUGAUUCUUACUAAUAAAGGAUUUGAUAUAUUUGAUAAACUUUAAUCAGGAGUGACAUUGAACAUAUCACCUUUUCUUUCAUCAAAAUCUCAUUUCAGUAAGGAUGAAGCACAGCUGUUACCAGAAGAGUCAAAUUCAUGUGGAGUGUGAAUUGAAUAAUUAAAUACAUCCAUAUUCUAAAUCAUAUACCUUCACAAUACAGACAUAUAUAUCUGUCCACUAAGAUUUUCAACUCUGUGUGACUCUUGUACAUUUGCAAAUCCUCUACUGAAGGAAAUAACCGAUAUGAAUUCCACAAUUUAUCAAAUCUUACCUUUGGACUUAGAUACUAUAAAUGUACAACUUCUUACUCACAUUAUUCUGCAUUGUCAAGUUGUAUUAAAUGCAUUCAAGUAAAUGAUAACGUGAACAUUUAUUUAAGGUUGCUAGUCAAAGAAAUUGUUACAAUGAUGAUUCAUGCACAUCUUUACACUGAUCAAUUGUAGCAAAAACAAAAUAAAACUAAUGGAAGACAUUUGAAUUUUCA